AUUAAUGGCCAUACCACCUGAACACGCCCGAUCUCGUUUGAUCUUGGAAGCUAAGCAGGAUCGGGCCGGGAUAAUACUGGCGAGGCGCGGUGGCUCAUGCCUAUAAUC
rnacentral:rRNA from 1 species